rnacentral:rRNA from 1 species
CAGCAGCCGCGGGAAUACGUAGGUGGCAAGCGUUGUCCGGAAUUAUUGGGCGUAAAGGGCUCGCAGGCGGUUUCUUAUGUCUGAUGUGAAAGCCCCCGGCUCAACCGGGGAGGGUCAUUGGAAACUGGGAAACUUGAGUGCAGAAGAGGAGAGUGGAAUUCCACGUGUAGCGGUGAAAUGCGUAGAGAUGUGGAGGAACACCAGUGGCGAAGGCGACUCUCUGGUCUGUAACUGACGCUGAGGAGCGAAAGCGUGGGGAGCGAACAGGAUUAGAUACCCCUGUAGUCCCUGUCUCUUAUAC